ACCAUCAUAGUGUAGUGGUUAGAGCACUGGACUACAACUCUGGAGAUCAGGGUUCAAAUCCCCAUUCAGCCA